CAGUAGCCGCGGUAAUACGAAGGGGGCUAGCGUUGUCCGGAUUUACUGGGCGUAAGGCGCACGUAGGCGGAUCGAUCAGUCAGGGGUGAAAUCCUGGAGCUCAACUCCAGAACUGCCUUUGAUACUGUCGAUCUCGAGUCCGGAAGAGGUGAGUGGAACUCCUAGUGUAGAGGUGGAAUUCGUAGAUAUUAGGAAGAACACCAGUGGCGAAGGCGGCUCACUGGUCCGGUACUGACGCUGAGGUGCGAAAGCGUGGGGAGCAAACAGGAUUAGAUACCCCAGUAGUACCUGUCUCUUAUAC
rnacentral:rRNA from 1 species